CACGUAGGGUGCGAGCGUUGUCCGGAAUUAUUGGGCGUAAAGAGCUCGUAGGCGGUGUGUCGCGUCGGCCGUGAAAACCUGCAGCUUAACUGUGGGCUUGCGGUCGAUACGGGCAUCACUGGAGUUCGGCAGGGGAGACUGGAAUUCCUGGUGUAGCGGUGAAAUGCGUAGAUAUCAGGAGGAACACCGGUGGCGAAGGCGGGUCUCUGGGCCGAAACUGACACUGAGGAGCGAAAGCGUGGGGAGCAAACAGG
rnacentral:rRNA from 1 species